rnacentral:lncRNA from 1 species
GGCAGUUCCCUUAAAGAAUGUUUCUAGGGAUGUUUUUCUUCUCUCUUGAAGCGUGAUGUUAGCGUAUUUCACGGUUGGGUUUGGCCAUUUCUAUCUCAAUAAUGUACCCCGAAAAGAGAGUUCGAACUAUGGUGAGUAGUGAUGGAUCACAAUUUGGACUUCCAUUGAUCAUGAAUAUUGUUGUCCCAUUUUCAUGGCCAACUGAAAAGUAGCAAUGCACAUGAGCUCUAUUGGCCUUGCUGCUGAUCCAAAUCUGAAGGCAUGUGGAAUGUUAAUGGGAAUGUUGUUGUUCUUUGUUCGAUUAAUGUACAGCCAUCAUUUGCUAACGAAUUUCUUGUUUAAAAAAUUAUUCAGCCUCGACUGAACUAUGUUUGCUGCUGUACCGAAUCAUGGCUGAACAGCAAAACCAAAAGCUGAACAACAAAGGCGCCAGAACUGAAGAUACCAGCGUGAGGAAGAUAUGGAAAAUGAAUGUAUCAGCAUAUCUUUCAUUCAUCACUUACAUUUGUGAUUCGCUUAGAGCAUGCUGCUUGUUUGUGACAUCCGUUGCUAUCUUUCAUUGAUCAGUUGUUGUACCCUGGUAAUUUGACACUGUCAAACCUGGAGGUUCACUUGUUUGCCUGAAUUUCAGACAUCUUCUGAUCACAGUAAACUCUGUAACUCGGUACUGAAACUCAUGCUUGCACCAAGAGGAAGCCAUGGUAUUUGAAUGAGUGUUCUUUAGGAACUCCAGCAUGGCAGCAUCUCGCUGUAUUUACAUAUAGCCCCCGGUAUUUUGCAACGAGCCCCCUGGUUCGGGUCGGCUCGUCCCGUCCGGUGACGGCCGCUGGCGCCGCCGCGGCCAUCCUCGCUGCCGGAAUCCGCCUUCCCCGUUCCAUCCCUCCGUGCAGACCUCCGCUCCACUGCCUACCGAAGCAAGGAUAUGAGGGAGCAGCUGCGAGUUCGACUUUGCGCCGGGAGCCCGGCAAUGGCGGCCCUGUAGCUUGUUUAGCACGUGACUUGACUUGAUGCAGUUGCUAGUUCAUACCGCUAUGCUUAGGCACAUACUGCUUGAUUUGAAAAGCUGGGAAUAAUUCACAGCCCUCUGAGGAGCAUCGGUGCUGAACUAAUCCUCCCAUGUAAUUUCAUCCAGAGGAGUAGGCAAUUAGACAUUUAGGCAUCCAACUCCGUUUGGUGCUGUACCAAGUCAUCGCUUUGUUGAUCUAAGAAGAAUCAGAACAAAAAAGUUCUGCUGAACUGAAGAAGCCAUCGUCAGGAAGGUAUGACAUUUGAGCACUGAAUAUUUUUUGAGGAACCUCAGCACUGAAUCUUUGAGGAGCUUCUCGGAACUCUUCUGCACCUGAGCUCCAAAUUCCUGGCUCUGCAUCUGCCUGUGCAUUGUGGUACUGCAGAAGGGAGGGUACUCUGAAGUGACGUAACUGAAAACCAGGAUUGGUUUGGCACUAAACUUUUUGCACCGACAGGCACAAGCAGAGUGAAGAAGAGUCAGUGUACAUCUGAUUCAUGGAAGAGGCAGAACCUGCAGGGAGCGAAAUCAGGGCCUGACAGAGCCAAAACAAGCACAAAUUGUGCCUGUAUAUGUUCAGACUUUGAUGGCUACGUUCCAUGACCUUUUCAGCUUCUCUCCCUUGCAGGUUGCAGCCGACAGCCAGAGCAAGUGACCAUCGGUAUUGUAGUAGAGAUGCAUGACACCAAAACACUCCACCACCCGUGAGAGACAAAUUUGCACAUCAAGGACAAGGAUACUUUUUUUUUUAAAAUGAGCUAGCAGGAGAGCUGCCGCUUUAUUAAUAAAGAGGAAUGCCCGACGGGCUUAACAAGAAAGAAAACUUUACAUGUUGUACACUGUGGACUCGGCUGAAACCCGAAAAAAAAACGAUUAGACACCCUAUGUACACUCAACUAAUCGAGAGAGGGGUUGUUCCUGACGAUGGAAAACUCGUGCAUUGUGUUCCUUCCAUACCUCCCACAGCACUAGGAUGAUAAGAGAUCUCAAUCCUUUUGCAUCAAUGUCCUGCACACCCGCUAAAGUUGUCCACCAUUCAUGCAGGGUGUCGUGUAAAGUCCAGCAACUCGGGUCCAUGGCUUCGCACCUGGUCCAUGUACUCAAUUGGGUUCAAAUAUUCCUUGUAUAACUGCAUUCAGUGAACAAAUGCAGCCCCGUCUCAUGAGCCACUUCGCAGAGGACGCAACGUGGAUUGCAUGGCCAUCCCCGACGCUGCAGCCGAUCCGCUGUCCAUAUUCUAUCUUGAACAGCCAACCAGCCGAAGAACUUGCACUUCUGUGGUGCCCAGGGUUUCCAUAUGAUUGCCUCAAAAUUGGUGUUCGUCGAUCCAAAGAACUGCACUCGGUAUGCUGAUUGUGUGGUGUAUUGUCCAUCUGCCGUUAAUUUCCAUCGAAUGGUGUCCGGGACUCCUGGUUGGAGUUGCACGCAGGAUGCGGCGUUCCAGAUAUUCUGAAGCUCAAUGAAGUAUGUCAUUGAGAACCCCUGGUGGUGCCGGAGGUCAAUAUCCAUGACCCAAGCAUUAUCCGUGAUGGCUUCACAUAGCGAUCUGUUCUUCCUUUUUGAGAUGUUGAAGAGGUUAGGUGCCAUGUCCCUGGACCUUUGACCGUCGAUCAAUUCCACUAUCCCAGAAGGAUAUUUUGUUGCCAUCGCCAAUCGUUAGCGUCGUGCUUGCCGCAAAGAGCUUAUGGUCAGCUUGCGAGCAGGGGAUGUCGCAAUCAUCCCAGGAUAAGGACAAGGAUACUGAAAAUAAAAGUUUACAUUAUUUGAUCGAACUACAAUGUCUUUGUGCACCAUGCAAGACCACUUACUGCAAUCAUCUACGUUCGACUUACUGCAAUCACCAAAAGGAUGUCAUUGUAUUUGCAUUUGAGAAUCGUGUUGGAACUGGAGCAUCUGUGAUCUAGAAUGGCACUGAACAUUCGAGGAACUUCUGCUGAACCUCUGAACAACAAAGAGGGAACCGAAGAUGCCAGCAGAGGAAGAUAUGCAGAAAUGAAUUUAUCACCACAUCUUUCAUUCUUACAUAUAUCUGUCAGUUGCUCACGACAUGCAGCUUGUUCUUGACUUCUGUUGUCGUGAUGAGAACCCAUAAUGUUAGCUUUUCUUCACGGGUUGUUUACCCUGGUAUUUGACAAAAAAAAAACUGAAGAUUCACUACGUUGCCUGAUUUUACACAUCUUCUGAUCGUUAGCAAUUCAGCACUGAAACUGUUUUUUUUAAAUGAUACUUCUAACGAACUCGGUAUUGAAACUGUAGUAUUUGCAUCUAAAAAGGUCAUAGUAUUUGCAUUUGAGAAUUCAUUGGAACUGUAGCAUCUCUAAUCUAGACAUGAACUAUACGGAUGUGCUGUCACAUUGUUUGUCUGCCUUUACAUAGCCUCAGUAAUUCUCAGCACUGAACAUUUGAGGAACUUCUGCUGAACCUCUGAAACUCCAAAGUCUGAUCCCAUGCUUCCAUGCCUGCCUGUAACUCGGCGAGUUCAGAAGACAAGAAGAUGCAACAGAACCGGGUUAGCAUCUCAUCCAAGUAUCCAGCAAAAAUGCAAAAUUCUAGAAUCUGAUCCAAGGAUGCAACAUGAGAAACCAACCUGUUGCACAGUUGCAGUAGGGAUUUGCGGUUGCACAGUUGAAGAGGAGGUUUGUGAUCAGGACAGCUCAGUUUGAGCGUCAGAAACUCAGAAUGGCGAGCAAAGGUAACCGUUAGACAAAACAUUCCGCAUGGCGCCGCCUUGCCGUUCGUCGAGCUAUUCCGGCUACAAUGCGCCCUCACCGUCUCUGGGGCAUCAGCAUCUCGUCUCCCGACGGGGCAGGGCCGUUAGCAGCGGCGCGCGAGCGGGGUCAGGACUCAGGAGACGGCGGCUUGGCGCGUGAAUUCGAGUGAGGGCGAGGAAGGGAUGAACGGAGACACGCGGCGCGGGGCUCACGGAGACCCGCGGUGGCGGCGCGACCUCGCCGGGGGCAGCAAUGUCGCCGACCGCCAAGAAUUUGCAAAAUACCCAUCGCGACUAAUAAUUGCGAUCCGAAUAUUUACAAAUAGAUUCCUGUAACUUAUAUAUACACCCCUAUUUUAGAUCGCGAUUGAUGGUCGCGAUCCAAUUAUUUACAAAUAGCCCCGGUAUUUUGCAGAAAGCCCCUCUGGUCCGGAUCGGCUCGUCCGGUCCGGCCGCCGGCGCCGUCCUCGCUGCCGGAAUCCGCAUUCCCCGUUCAAUUCCUCCGCUCCGCUGCCUACCGCAGCAAGUACGGGAGAGGAAAGGACAUGAGGCGCGCGGUUCUUCGCCCUCCGAGCGGAGCAGAGCGAGCAGCCGCGCCCGCGAGCUUGACUUCACGUCGGGGGAGCCCGGCCAUGGCGGCUCGCAACUGUAGCUUCUGGAAUUCCAUGACUUGUUCAGAUCAAGUGGCCAUCGACAUUGGAGUAGAGAUGCAUGACGCCAGAAACACCCGAGGUAGAUUUGCACAUCAAGGACAGCGGACGCGCGCCAUGGUUUGGUUUCCCAAGUUCAGUUUCCUUGAGCUCGUGUUCAUAGACUGCUGACGUUAAUAGGCCGGAACUCGGAGCUCGCCGGAGGGCGGCGUUGAGGCCGGUGAAGCAGCGCGGCGGCCGGCGGGUCGCGGGACGACGAGAGGGCGGCGAAGCCCCGUUCGUAUGGGGUCUCCCUUGAUUAAUCCCAACCGUGGGUUGACGAUUCAACGGCUCACAACUACCUGGGGUUAUAGAUUUCCAGAUGGGCCGCCCGGUCCUAGCCCGGCACUAUCCCAGCCUGACCCAGCACUAAUAGGCCCGAAGGGUUUUCGUGCUGGGCUGGGCUGGCACUACGUGCCGAGGAGGCGGCCUAGGCCCAGCCUGACGACCUUUUAUUAGGCCGGAUCAGCCCGCUGGGACGACGGGCCCUGCCGUGCUAGUGCCCGGCCCGGCACCAGCAGCGGUGGCCGGCUCUAGGCAGCCCCCCCCCCUGCGGCCCCCAGCAGCGGUGGGCGGCUCCAGGCGUUCCCCGAUGGCGGCUGGCGGCUCCGAGCUCCAAGCAGGCCCCCGCGGCGCCUCCAGCGGUGGGCAUGGCGGCCCCGGUGGCAGGCACAGUUCACGGGAAGGAGAGCGGUGGUGGAAGUGUCACGGUAGAGACCGAGAGAGGGUGGGAGGCCGCCGGCUGCUCGCUUGGGUGUUGGGGGAGGAGAGGAGGGCAAUGAAUUAGGGUUUUUCCAUACACACACACACACUUGCGGGUUGCUAGCAGGCCAUCGGGCCGCAUUGGGCUGACCAAAAAUCAUGCUGGGCUCGUGUUGGCCCAGUGUGCCGAGGAUGCGGCCUAGGCCCGGCACUAUUCACCUCGUGCCGGGUCCGUGCUCGUGCCAUGCUUUUUAGUGCCGGGCCUCGAGCUGUCCAGUGGGCCUAGCCCAUCUGGAAAUCUAGGCUGGGGGUGGACGCUAAAUGAAAUACCGUCCACCCCUGACCGUGGCGAGGCGAGGCCAAGUGGCCAACGGCGCCAGCCACCAGCUGUGCCGCGGCGAGGGUACCCACGGAGAGGAGCCGAGAGCCUCCUCAUCCCCCUACAAGCAGCGGCGCCAGCGGGCAGGCACCUCGCAGAUCGGGAGUAGCGUCGCCGCGGCAGUCCAGGCGCACCGCGCGGGUAUAGGCGGUGAUCGGCCAUGGCUUCGUCGAGUAGCAAGGGCGCCGUUGCUUCUGCCGCGUCCACUUCGGGCCGGCGUGACGCGCCAUAGUGUAUGGAGAGGUGGGUGGUGGUGACUGGUGAGGUGAGGUCAGAGGAGCAGAGCGAACAGUGGGCGUCGCCGCGUCAGGUUUUGCUUGGGAGGAGGGGCUGACGCCGCCACGUCUGGUGCGUGCGUUCACGCGGCGAGCGAGGUAAUAGGCGGGGAGAUCGCGGCCUCGGUGGGGCGCGGUCGUGUGGCCGAGGUCCAGGCUUCCAAGGAUUUGGGUGUGCACGUCGGCAGCCGGCCAGUGAGUGCAGGGGAAGUCAUAAGCCCACUGCCAUUGCAUAUUCUUGAGUAAGUAGAGUUUUUUUUUAUGAAUACAGAGAAGAGCUGCGUAUCUUUGUAUUAAGAAGAAAAAAGUUUUCAUACAUCGCGGGCCUAUCCGGGCACAUGCACACAGGUUUAGAUAUGUUUUAGCUUACAUUACACUACCACAACGAUAAUACAAAUGGCAUAGAAAGGUGGAGAUCAGAAAGACCUGAGUUUCAGAUUGCUGCAAGUCUGCAACUGAUUAAGUAGUUUCAGACAACGACUGAAUCUGAAUCUACCUGCUCUUAGAGAUUCAGAAUUUCAGGAUAAAAUGAUUGCAGAGUUUUUCCAGAAGCUUUCGAGAGCUUUUUGACUUUUGAGCCAGGAUAUAACUCAUGUAUGGAUCUCUGCAGAUCAGACAGAAAUACAGCAGGCAACUCCAGGGUUUCGAACUGCACAAUGCAGGAAGCUACCAAGCUGCAGGAAGUCUGCCGAGUUCAUUUCGCAUCAGCUUGGUAGCUACGUAACAUGGAUUCUAUCUGUCACAAAAUGCUUGGUUUGCCUGGCUUUCAUACGGAUGUUACCGUCACAAACGCGGUGCUGAAAUUCACACACACCAAGGUACCUACAUAUGAAUUUUUCAGGGGCUACUGCAUCGCUGAUGUAAGGUGAAUUAUCUGAACGCUGAUGGCAACGGCAUGCAUCACAUUCACUGAUUCACAGCUCCUUCUGCCUUGCACAGCCUUCUGUAGCACUGGACAAUUCCUGAAAACUGCCUGCUCUCAGCCUCUCACCAAUUCAGACAGCGCAACCGCAGAGUCCGUUAAGAGUCAAACCUGAAGGUUAAAUGCAUGGUAUUUGCGUAUGAAACUUCUUUAGUAAAUCCAGCAUCUCUAAUCCAAGCUGGAACUGUCUCAAUGUUGAUCGCACGCAUCACAUGUUUUCCUGCUCUGAUAUAGCCUCAUAUCCUCAACUCUGAAUAUUGAGGAACUCCUUCUGAACCUCUUUUACACAUGCCUGGUACUCGGCGAGUAGCUUGUAGGAAAAGCAUUUUACAAUCCAAGCAUCCACCGAAAUACUAGCAUCUGAUCCAAGGAUGAAACCAGAGAAACCAAUCUGUUGCAGUAGGUGUUUCUGAUCCGGGAGGGGCAGGGCCGUUAGCGGCGGCGUGGGAGGGGGUCAAGAGACGGCGGCUUGGCGCAUGAAUUCGACUUACAGCGAGCAAGGGAUGCAUGGCGGCGCGGCGCGGGGCUCGCAGAGGCCAGCGGUGGCGGCACGACCUCGCCGGGGGCAACAAUGUCGCCGACCGCCAAUAUUUGCAAAACACCCCCCGAUUUGGAUCGCAAUUGAUAGUUGCGAUCCAAAUAUUUACAUAUAAGACCCUAUAUUUUACGAAUAACCCCCUAUUUUUGGGUCGCGAUUAUUUACAUAUAGCCCCCGGUAGUUUGCAAAGACCCCCCUGGUUUGAAUCGGCUCGUCCCGUCCGGCGACGGCCAUCGGCCGCCGCCGCAAUGGCCAUCCUAGCUGCCGGAAUCCGCAAUUCCCGACCCUCUUUCAAUCCCUCCGUUGAGACCUCUCGCGCAGUUCGUCGUCGUCGCCCUCCGAGCGAGCGGAGCGAACAGUCGCUCCGGGCAUGGUGGCUGACGCGGUUGCUACUUCGUACCUCUAUGCUUAGGCUGACACUGCUUUCUCUGGAAACUAGAAUAAUUCGCAGCUCUCUGAGGAGAAUCGCUGCAGGAAUAAUCCUCCCCUGCUAUCUGUUCUUGCUGUAAUUUCAUCCCGAAUAGCUGGCGCACAACUCUGCUUGAUCAUCGCUGAUUGACACAGGAAAAACUAGAACAAAAGAUGUGCUGGAACAAAGAGAGAUGCUUUUUUUGCAUCAUCUUGGACUCUUGGCAUGCUUGGGCACUGAAUGUUUGAGUUGAGGAAAUUAUGAUGAACUCUUCUAGUCUUCUGGACCUGAGCUCUGAAUUACUGCCUCUGCAUCUGCCUGUGUGAGUUCAAAACUUCAAAUCAGAGUGUGAGAUGUGCCUGUAUAUACUCAGACUUUGAUGCCUCCGUUUUCCAUUGACUUCUAAAAGCACGUGAGAUAUUUGCAUCGUAGCUCAGUAGAGAUGCUCAUAUGCAUGACGCCGGACAUCAAGGACACGGACACCGAAAAGCAAAAGAUUCAAUUUCAUUGGUGUGAACACAGGACACGCACACAGCCCGCCAUGGUCUGGUUUGCCUUGAGGUCCUGUCCUGUUCAUAAACCUGCCGACGUUAAGCCGGACGGCGGCGGCGUGCCAGGAUGACGCGAGCUACUUUAAUUGGCAAUCGAGCGCGCGCGUUCAUGCAAGCCUCUUGCUACGGCGAACCAGAGCGCCGGGAUCACGGGAGCUAGCGCUGAACUGAAUCUAGUGUGGGAUCGGACCGGAGUGCGGCGGCGAGGCUGGCGAACCAGCGUGGCGGAACGACGACAGCGCGGCGAAGCGCCCUCGGUCCGUUUGUACUGGGUCUCCCUUGCUUAAUCUCGGCCGUUGGUUGAGGAUUUAACGGCGCACGGCUAUCUGGGGUGGACGGUAAAUGAAAUACCGUCCACCCCGGUCGCGGUCGGAGGAGGCCAACACCGCCCGCCGGCGAGCCGCGACAUGGCCCCUACCAGCGGCCGCGCCAGCGACAUGCGCCUCGUGAGUCCGAGGCAGCGUCGCUGCGCGGUAGGCCAGGCACGCCGCGGUGACCGAACCAUGGGCUGCUAAGCCGCGUGGCGCGUGGCCGAGGUCCAGAGUGAGCCGCAUGGAUCAGCGCCGGUGUGCGCGCCGGCCAGUGCUGGGAAGCCAUGAGCCAUGAGGCCACUGACAUUGCAAGCCCAAGUCCUCUUGUGUAAGCCGUGGCUGCAGCUUUUUCAGGAAUUACAAGUUGGGCAUUCACAAUUCACAUGGCAGUAAGCACUAAGCAGAGUUUCAGAUUGCUGCAACUGAUUGGGUGACAGCUGAAAAAACGAGUCCCAGAGCCCAGUACAAGCUCAGCAGCUCAGCAACUGGAAAGUUUCUGAAACCUGCCUGCUCCCAGAGAUUCAGACAGCGAAAGUGCCUGAGCUUAAGCUAGUGCGGGACCGGAGCUCGCCGGAGGGCGGCGCCGCGGCGGCGAGGCUGGCGGCACAGAGCGGCAGGAGGCAGAAGGACGAUAAGAGGGCGGUGAAGGCUCGGUCCAUUCAACAGCCCGAUCUCCUUUGUUAAAUCACAACCGUCGGCUGAUAAUUAAACGGCCCACGGGUAACUGGGGUGGACCGUCCACCCCUGGUGGCGACGAGCGGCGAAGGGAGGCCAAAGCCGCCCGCCGGCCAGCCGCGAGGCGGCGAGGGAACCCGAGAGCCUCCCCACCCCUAUCAGCAGCGGCGCCGGUGACAGGCGCCUCGCAAUUCCGGAGCAGCGCCGCGGUGACCAUGGCUGCUCCGAUCGAGUUGCUACUGCGGCGAGCGAGGUAGGACUAGGAGGAGGUGCAGCGCACAGCGUCGGUGGCCGAGCUCGGAUGAGCCGCAUGGAUUUGUGCCGGCGUGGUGAGGGGAAGCCAUGAGCCCAGCGCCAUUGCAAGUCCAAGUCCUUGUGUGUAAUCCUUGAUGGUAGCUUUUUCAUGAAUUACAAGUUGGGCAUCAGGGUGACAGUAAGCACUAAACAGAGUUUCGGAUAGAACAGUUGUCGUUGGCCUGGUCUCAAGAGAUUGCUGCAAAUUGAGUGGCAUCUGAUAGAUGAGUCCCAGUACAAGCACAGCAACUGAAGAAUUCCUGAAACCUGCCUACUCUCGGAGAUUCAGACAACGCAAGUGCAGAGUUAAUUCAGAAGCAAAGCUGUUUCCAAGAGCUUUUCUUUUGUAACCAGAAUCUGUAACUCUGCGGGAAACUAAUUCGUGUCUGGGUCACUGCAAAUCAGAAUCAUGGUCAGUCUCCAUCAGCACCUCCGGAGCCGAGUCAUGACAAACAUUACUAGCCGAUUAACAUAAGCAACAGGUCACAAUCACUAACUGUGCUAUCACAAAUAUAUUAUCUUAUCGAAGUUUUUUCGUCACUAAAUUCUCUCUGCUGACUUUCUGUACAGCCAUCAUUUGCUAACGAAUUUCUUGUUUCAAAAAUUAUUCAGAGUCGACUGAACUAUGUUUGCUGCUGUACCGAACCAUGGCUGAACAGCAAAACCAAAAUCUGAACAACAAAGGCGCCAGAACUGAAGAUACCAGCGUGAGGAAGAUAUUCAAAAAAUGAAUGUAUCACCGUAUCAUUCAUUUGCCACUUACAUUUGUGAUUCUCUUAGAGCAUGCUGCUUGUUUGUGUCAUCCGUUGCUGUGAUGAAAUACCAUUUGUUAUCUUUCCUUCAUCAGUUGUUGUACUCUGGUAAUUUGACACUGACAAACCUGGAGGUUCACCUUGUUUGCCUGAAUUUCACACAUCUUCUGAUCAUCAGUAACUCAUUACUAAAACUCUCGCUUGCACCUGAAGGAAGCCAUGGUAUUUGCAUACGAGUGUUCUUUAGGAACUCAGCAUCUCUAAUCGAAACUAGAACUACCUGAAUGCUGAUCUCACGCAUCACAUUUUUUUUCAUGGUCUCACAUAGCCUCAUGUUCUCAACUCUGAAUAUUUGAGGAACUACUUCUGAACAUCUUUACACAUAUACCUCUGAAGUCCGAAGCCACCUGCCCGGUACUCAGCGAGUAGUUCAUGGGACAUUGGGAAAGCAUUUUUUUUUAUCCAAGCAUCCAGCGAAAUUGAUCUCCCGACGGGGCAUCUGAUCCAAGGAUGAAACUGAGAAACCAAUAUGUUGCUGCACGGUUGGUCAGUUGCAGUCGGGGUCUGUGACGUGGAUAGUCGGUUUGAGCUUCAGAAUGGCGAGCAAAGAGCACCGCGCGACAAACUCUUUCAGCGGGCGCCGCCUCGCCGUUCGUCGAGGUACUCCGGCGACAAUGAGCCCCAACCGUCUCUGGGCGCCGCGUGCUCUCGACGUGCCGGCCUCGGGGCAGCAUCUCAUCUCCACACGGGGCAGGGCCGUUAGCGGCGGCGCACGAUGGGGUCAGGAGGCGGCGGCUUAAAGCGUGAAUUCGACUCAGAGCGAGGGUGCAUGUGCCUGAAUAGUCCCAGCAGUCUAAACUCACAAAAUUUCAUCGAGAGUUACUGAACUUGCAUUUCAGAAUUUCAUUAUCGAGUAGAGUUGUUCGACGAGUGAACAUAGGUUACUAAACACUUGCUCAACUAAAUAAUUGCAAUCAGUAGCAAUGCACAUGAGCUCUGUUGGCCUUGCUGCCGAUCCAAAUCUGAAGGCAUGUGUAAUGUUUAUGGGGAUGGUCUUGUUCUCUGUUCGAAUAAUGCAUUCUGAAACGAUAAUAUGAACCAUCAUAUUUUUUUUUACUUCCAUUUAACAUUGAUUUUUUUGUCCAAUUUUGAUGGCCAACAUGUGGUCACUUUGUCACUAGCCAUGGACCCAUGGUUCAUUCUGCGAUUUCUUUUUUGGCAGAUUUUUCCCCCGUGUAGAUCUUCCCUUUUCAAUUGAGUGUUUUUCUGUGGUCUUGCAAAACUAGUUGCACUGCACAAAGAGCUGUGGUGUCCAGGCCAUGCUGUUGAUCCUGACCAAGUGCUAUCUCUAUCACCAAAGAUUUUUUAAGGCAUGCAGUCUCUAUCACCAAGUGCUAUCUCUGGCCUGGUCAGAGUUAGGACAUGGAUCCUAUAAUCAAGCAGAACCAGUGAGAGAGAUGCUCACUGGUAACGCCUCGUUUCUCAUCUCAAGAUACAGGUUCCAAUUCCGAAGGGAGGGAGGGAGGGAGGUCGUGCCGUUGCAUGCAUGGGAGAUGGCGACGACGAUGGAGGCAGCCGAAGCGUCGCCGCUGGAGGUGUCGCCGCGGGCGGGGAGCUGUCGCCGGUCGCGGCCGUGGAGCCUGAGCAGCAGCAUCGGGCGUAGCGGCAGUAUCGAGUACACGAGCCUCUGCGACGUGCUGGAGGAGGAGUGCGGCGGCGGCGGCGACCACCACCCGUGGCGCGGCGGCAGCGGGAGCGCCGAGUACUCGUGCCACGACAUCCACGACUUCGACCCGUCCAACAUCGGGAUCCGGAACCAGCUGCUGAAGCACGCGGCGUCGGCGUACCUGCAGUCGGCCGUGGUCGUCGCGGCGGGCCGCGACGAGGAGUGCUGCCUGGCCCGCCUCUGGCGCCGCGUCGGCUUCGGCGGCGCCGGCGCCGGGGGAGGCCGGCGCGGGCGGGGCGGGCGCGGGCGCUUGCUGAUGCGCGCCUGCUCGUGGCAGCUGGGGUGCGUGGACGACCCCGCCGCGUUCGUGGCGCGCUCGGCACGCCGCCUCGCCGCGUUCGUCGCCGGCCGCGUCGGCGCCGUCUGGCCUUCCUGCCGCUGGAACUCGUCCCCGAGAGCAGAGCCGGUAGCGUAUAACUACGAUCCUGCCGAUUUCUAGCAUCAGAGAAACAGUGCUCGGUGUAUAGGAUGAUCACCGGCCUGUAGCGCUCCCUCGAUCGCGUACGUAUACUGUGAAAAUACGAUCUUGUUGUCAGAUGCAAAUGAAAAUACAGUCAUGCCCGGCGGCCUCGCCGGAACGAAUGGAACGGCGGCCACGGCCACGGCCUCGGCCUACGGCUGCCUGCAUACCGACCAACCGCAAGCCUACAGCCUACACCAGCACCAGCGGGGCCCGCCGGGCCGAGACAAAACUUCCCUUUCCCCUCGUGGGCCAAUCCACAGCCGCCGCGGGACGCUGACAGGAGGGCCCGGCCUGCGCUCACCAGGCCAAAUCGGGCACACCCGGUCCCACUCGUCAGCCAUCCCGCCGCCGCCGUUAGGUGGCAACGGGGAGGGCACGCACGCGUUUCGAAUUCGUUCGAAAAAAAAAUCCCCCCCAGGCCCAACGGUCGUCUCUCUCCUUCCUCACUGCCGACCCCCCGAUCCAACGGAUCGCGCACCAUUCGUGGAUCGAUUCCUCCUCCGCCGCCGCUCUUUCCCCUUUCGGCUUUUCCCUCCGCCUCAAAUUCGAACCCCUCUCCCCUCCCCUCCCCUCCCCUCCCAGCGUCCGCCAACGCCGUCACGGGAGCGACGUGAUCGAUCGCCCAAGUCGGUCGCCAGCCACCGCCAGUUCACCACCACCGCAACGCCUCGCGCGCAUCCUUCCCUCCUCCUCGCCGUCGCCGCGCGGGGUUCCGUGGGUCUGUAGCGCGGGAUGGAAGAGGAGGCAAGCGGCGGCGGCCGGGGCCGCGACGAGGCGGAUCCUCCCGCCCUCGCCUCGCCGGUUGCGGCGGCGAGGAAGACGGUGAGGAUGUCCGACGCCCGCGACGUCAUCAUCCCCUCCUACGCCGCCGACCACCAGGGCUUCUUCGCCAUCGCCGAGGGUACGUGCGCGGCGCGCCUCCAUUCCGUGCCUCUUCUCUUUACCCCCCCCGCAGAUCGAUUCUCGAUCGGUGCUCAAUUCCUCACCGAGGUUGGUUUUUUGUUGCGGUGGUUCAGAGGAGGGCUCGGCCGCGGGCUCGUCGGUCUCCGCGGCGUCGGCGACGCGGGCCCUGGAUCGCCACGCCAGCGGCGCGGGCUCGCCGCCGCCGUCGCCCGGCGGCGUCCCGUGCGAGGGGGUGCUGCAGGACACGCCGGAUUACAUCAGGAGGGGCGCCGCGCGGCACCGGGGAGUCGCGCCCCUCGAGCUCUUCUCCGCCGCGACCUCGCCGCCCGGCGCUGAGGCCGUGGCAGCCGGCGCGGAAGGCCGCGGCGUGCCCAGCGCCGGCGGGGCGCGCGGGGGCGACACCGUGGGUGGUGGUGGUCGGAUCGACGACCAACCAAUUCUGCAAGCGAAAGAGGUUACACAUCCACAGCAGCCAAACAUCUCAUCGAGGAAAUUGGAUUCUUCUCUGUGUGCCUGAACAAAGAUCCUCAUGUCUCUUGCAGGGCGAAUCCGGUUGCUGUAACCUGCUGCAACAGCAGUACGCUUUGCUCCUGCGGGAGAAGGAGGAAUGCAGGAGGCUUCUGGAGGACCUGAUGAGGGAGAACGUUCUCAAGACCAGAGAAUGCCGUGAAGCGCAGGAGUCGCUUCGUGAUCUGCAGAUGGAGCUCAUGAGGAAGUCAAUGCACGUUGGCUCCUUAGGUAAGAUCCGGUGAUAAGAUUAGGUCCAUUGUGGCUGUUUGGUGUUUGACUGUAGCAGCAAAUUAAGUUCAUUUGUGGUUGGAGUGAAAAGAGAUUAGCACUUGUAUUGGCUGAUUUCGGGGAAUUUGGUAACUCUGCAACCCAAGCAUGGUUCCAGUUCACUGAGUUUGUGACCAGAGAAGGAUCAUGUUAUUUAAUACUAAGAGUCGUUUAGGCUUUCUUGUCCUAUCAAGAAUGCUUUCUGAAAUUUUCAUUGUUUCUGCAGCCUCUGCUGUUGAAGGGCAAGUGAAGGAGAAGAGUCGAUUGUGUCAUUUUGUCAAUGAAUUGAGUGAAAAAUUCAAGGUAUUCUGCUAAGAACUCACUGUUUACAUACUAUAGACAAGCACCAGUGCUUUGGCUUGAAUGUCAUAAAUGGUAUGAUAUUUAUUACAAUCCUCUACAGGUCUUGAAGUUGGAGUACCAGAAUUUACGCCAAGAAUCACUAGAAUAUAAAAAUUGUGUGUUGGAUGCUACACAAAUGUCCACAACAAUUCAGCAAUAUGGUACGCUUGUCCUAUCUACAUUCUUCACUUGUCUUAUUUGUUUCCACUUACUAGAAAUCAGUGUAACAUGAUACAUUCAUUCAAACAGUGAAUCAAUAUGCAACUCUGGAACGUGAAUUUAAGGACCUCAAAGAAAAGUUCAGUGAGGAGGCAAAGGAACGGAAGGAUUUAUACAACAAGCUUAUAGAGCUGAAGGGUUAGUUAUUUAUUCUUUUCUCUGCGUAUACAUUUUUGUUGCAAGAUAUGGCGAUGACAAAAUUAACAGUGACUUGGCAUACUGCUUAGGUAAUAUAAGAGUGUUCUGCCGGUGUCGGCCACUUAAUGCAGAAGAAAUAGCUGAAGGAGCUUCAACAGCCAUCGAUUUUGAGUCAGCAAAAGAUGGAGAGCUCAUUGUUAAAGGCCACGUAUCUUCCAAAAAAAUAUUCAAAUUUGAUUCUGUCUUCAGCCCUGAAGAAGACCAAGGUAACCCACUUCAUAAAUGCAAUUACUCACUUUGCAUUGCAUCCUAACCACACUUCUAACAACGUAUCUUAUUCAAUCUAUGUGCAGAAAAGGUGUUUGAGAAAACUGCGCCAUUUGCAACCUCGGUGUUAGAUGGAUUCAAUGUUUGCAUCUUUGCUUACGGACAGACCGGCACUGGUAAAACAUUUACCAUGGAAGGAAUUGAAGGUGCUCGGGGGGUCAACUACAGAACUUUGGAGGAACUCUUUCGGAUAAUAAAAGAAAGAGAGGGCAUUUUCCUGUACGAGGUUACUGUCAGUGUUUUGGAGGUGUACAACGAGCAGAUCCAUGAUUUGCUCCUGACAGGGUCUCAACCAGGUGCAACAACCAAAAGGUAUAAUGGCACUCGUGAUUUAUAUUUUUAUAUUGACAAUCUAAAGUCCUAGUAAGACAUGAUAAAUGGUACAAUGAUACUCGUGAACAUGAAACAUAUUAUUGUAGCAGCAAAAAUUCUAGUAUGACAUGAAACAUUAUUUUGUAGGCUAGAAGUAAGACAAGUUGCAGAAGGGGUUCACCAUGUACCUGGACUUGUUGAAGCACGGGUGACUAACAUGAAUGAGGCUUGGGAGGUCCUGCAAACUGGAAGCAAAGCUAGAGUUGUUGGUUCCACAAAUGCUAACGAACAUAGCAGUCGAUCACACUGGUUCGUAGCCAAAGAAUUUCAUGCGCUUCUGCUAUGUUGUAGAUUGUAAAUUCUAUCCUAAAUUCGUAAGUGAUUUUGAAUUUCAGUAUACACUGUGUAAUGGUCAAAGGAGAAAACUUGGUCAAUGGAGAAUGCACAAAGAGCAAAUUAUGGCUAAUUGACCUCGCUGGGAGUGAGCGGGUAGCAAAGACAGAUGCGCAAGGAGAAAGGUUGAAAGAAGCACAGAACAUUAACAAAUCACUCUCUGCACUCGGUGAUGUCAUAUCUGCUCUUGCAACAAAGACCUCGCAUAUACCUUUUAGGUAUUUAAACUUUACUCCUUUAUUUAAAUUGUAAUUCUCAGCUGUAACUUACAUUGGUGGUUAUAUUUCAAAUUACAGGAAUUCGAAGCUGACACACUUGCUGCAAGACUCACUAAGUAUGUAGGCUAUUUCUUCAUUAGGAUGGUAGAAUCAUUUGCUCUUGUUUAGUAUUAUAAUUCAGUGUAAGCAAUGCAGGUGGAGAUUCCAAGACUUUGAUGUUUGUUCAAAUCAGUCCUAAUGAGAAUGACGUAGGUGAAACUCUUUGCUCACUGAACUUCGCAAGCAGAGUGCGAGGAAUAGAGCUUGGGCAAGCAAGAAAGCAAGUCGAUAUUGGAGAAUUGUCAAGAUACAAGCUCAUGGUACUGUAGUAUUCUGCCAAUAUCUGCAUGUUAUGUAAGCCCUUUUGUUUUAACUCUGUUCAACUGUAACACGCUAUCGGUUCUGCUAGGUUGGGAAAGCCAAGCAGGACAGUAAGAACAAAGAUGCUCAGAUUAAGAGCAUGGAAGAAAUAAUCCAAUCACUUGAAGCAAAGAACAAGGCCAAAGACUUGCUCACUAUGAAUCUCCAAGAGAAGGUACAUCAGGCAUAGCUUCUUGAUGCCAUUAGCUUCUUCCUUUUGCAACAUCUGCCAAGAGUAGUAAUUUGCUGCACAUCAUAAAACCUCUUCGAAUGAUCUUUUUAUGCCAUAUCUUGAUGCCAUGAUGACCCUAGAAGGUUCCCAACAAUGAUAAUACUGAUGGAUGUUAACUUGAAACCAGUAUGCAUAGGAACUGUUAUUCUUUCUCAUAGAUGAUGCAAUUAUUCCAUUACUUCUGCAAAGUUUGUGAAAUCUGUUGUAGUUGAUGACGUGUUUAUGGGAAAAUUGGAAUUAGAAUAAAGAAGUGACACAUAUUUACCGUUACUUCUAAACUCUUUGCAGAUCAAAGAGCUGGAAUCACAGCUGCUAGUUGAAAGAAAGAUAGCACGGCAGCAUGUGGACAACAAGAUCGCUCAAGAUCAUCUGCAGAAGCAGCACAGCAUGAAGGAAGAGAGCCCGUACCUGAGAAGCCCAAUGGCCGAGAGGAACCUCAACUCGACAGCAGAGAAGCCAUCAGCAGGACGCAAAGACUUUGGGAUCGCGAAGCAGAUGUUCUCUGACAGCAACACUGACACAUACAGCUUCAAGCAGCUGUUGUCUCUCGGGGAGGAGAAGGAGAAUAACCCUGAAGCUGGGCAACUGCCGCCGAUGGCAAAAGCGAGACGAGUCUCAUUGUGCAACGGUGGAGCUUACCAGCAGCCAAUGAACCAGGCCUCGCGCCGACAAUCGCUGAUACCACUUCCACGGAGGAACUCGCUGAUGCCACUGCCCACAGCCAAACCUCUUGCGGCAGCAGCGCCACCACCGCUCGACAAGAUCACAGAGCAGCUGCCCUCACCACCGCUAUGCUCUCCUCCGGUUGUCUCCAACGACAAGGGAAGCCGGAGCAAGAGGAUCAACAGCAUCCUGCGCCGAAGCCUGCAGAAGAAGGUGAUCAUCAGGCCGUCAGUGGCAGCGCAGGCUGGCAGGAAAGCCAGUGCCAUCGCCACCACACAGGGCACUGACGGCGCGCGCAAGGCGGCGCGGCGAGUACCUGUGAGCGGCGGUGCUGGGCAGAGGGUGCAGCAGAAAAGGGACAAGGAGCGGGGAUGGAACAACGGGACAAGCCUCAGGAACUUCUGAAGACUCGAGUCAGCUGCAUCAGCUUAGGCCGAAAGAAGUCUGUAGAUUGGUAGGAAGUUUAGGUGUUUAUAGAGGUUGGUUGAGUUUGUGAGUUCUCGCUUAUUGUGAGAGAACUCUGAAUUUCUUACAGAGGUUGAUGGUGCUUGAUCUUAGGUGUUGAGUUUGUGAGUUCUCACGUAUUGUGAGAGAACUCUAAAUUUCUUAGAGGUUGAUGGUGCUUGAUGUCAGACAGACGCUGAUCACUAUCAGGUUUACGAAUUUCCAACUUGUGUGUUCAGGUAAUGUCUUGUACUCUUGUGCUGAUUUCUAUAUUAGGAGGAUUCCUAUGUCCCUGUAUAUUUUCCCUACAGGAUUAAGAAAGAUUACAGUGGCAUGUCAAGAAAAUUUCCUUUUUCUAAUUGUAUACGCGGGGAGAUGGUAUCACGCUUGGAGAUAAACAUCGGUUGAGUACGAUUCUUCUUUAGGAAAAGAUUUUUUUUUAUAAGGUUCUUUAGGAAAAGAUUGAAAGGCAACACGAUGAUGCAAACGGCCCAGUUAACAUUGGAAAUGGUCAUUACUGAGGUACAAUCAAAUCACACAAUCUCAUAUUGAGUUCAGUUCACGCACUCAAGCCAAACUAUGUUAUGUAUAAUCGAUGACUAUCAUACAUUUUCAAAUGCAUCCAGCUAAUGCUAAUGCUUGAGUGACAGAUCUCCAGCUUAAAUCCUUCCUUCAUCCCAGUUCUCUCGUACCAAUCCGUUAUAUGGACUGAACUACACAUUACAAGCACAGCGGCCCUUCAAUGAUUUGCUUCAUCAUCUGCUCUUCACUUGAACUCUGCCACUCCUGCAAAUUAAACAAAGCCACAGCCCACAUUAUAUGCAGAAUCAAAAACACAAAGUGAAUUAACACAAAAGUAAGAAAAUCAACAGAGAUACAGCCCGCAUUAUUUGCAAACAUUUACAUGUAAAAAGUUGAAUAAAAGAGCAUCACGAAUUUUGUGCAUCCCAUUGAUUUCAUAUAGGGAAACAAUCAUAAAUGCCCCCUUUUCUUGUUUGUUUCUGCCUUUCUCUAGAGAACUAACACGCAACACUCCUUUUCAAUUAAAAGCCUAGCACUGUGGGGAAGUUUUGCCUAAGUUUAUUUUCGGCAACAAUCAAAUAUAACAUUUAAUUAGAAGGGGAAGAAACUUAUUGUCCUAAGAAUCAUAAAUGCUAAGCUAACACAUGUGAAAACACUGCCAAACUAUAUCCUAUUUGUCUGAAGUUAACUGAAGAAGGCAUGCGAUUUCACAUCUUUCUACCAAACACAUUAAUACUCUUAACGACUAACGUAAUAGAAAGAAUAACAGUGACAAACAAGGAAGAAACUGACAGAAUAAAAGGAAUGCAUUUCCUCAGUAGAUAUAAUGCAGGCUUAAAAUCAUCCUACAGUUUGGCCAUGUAACCAACUCAAGGGAUCCCAUACAACAUGCUCAUUUGUAUCUUCUCCCUACAAUCUUGAUAAGCAGAGUAUAACAGCCACUAGAGUAUGAAGUUUUCAGUACUUACAUUUCAAUGAUGUCCCAGCAAGACAGGUUAGCCUUGCUUUUGUGUUAGCCACUGCCAAUGGAGUCGGCUUUCCAUUCCCAAUUGUCCGAACAUCCCAUAUCCUUAUGACACCAUCGGAUGAAGCAGAAGCAAUCAGAUUGGAGAGCUCUGAUCCAUCCUUCCGAUUAUCAAAAACGACAACCCCUUUUACACGAGUUGCAUGAGCACCCUCAAUGCGUGAGGAGACCUUGCCGCUGGACAGAUCCCAGGCAGUAAUACCACAGUCCUCUCCUCCAGUGUAAAGGACUCCAUUCUGAAAAUUACCCAAAAAUAUGUGAGCAAAGUGCAAAAGGUCAGGCUAUGACAUGGGCACAUGGAGUAUCUGAGCUGACAUAUUUGAUACUCCCUCCGUUCCAAAUUGUAGGUCAUUUUGACUUUGUUCAUAGAUAUUAUUAUGCACCUAGACAUACACUAUAUCUAGAUGCAUAAUAAUAUCUAUGAAACCAAAAAAGCUAAAACGACCUACAAUUUGGAACAGAGGGAGUACAAAUCAGGAAAUUGUAAUAUAGUGUCUAAAAUCAUGAUGCGAAGCUGCACCAAGAUGUCAAUUCAGCAUGCCAUGGGCAACCAAAAAGCCGAUGAAAGCUGGAUUUGCAUUCAGCAAGAUGAUAAAUUUCAACAAGUUAUCAGCCAUUGCACACUAAUCCAAUCAUAAGAGCUCAAUCCUAAACAUGCCCAUGGCCAAAUCAACAGGAUGCGCAGCCAGUGGUAGUAGUAGUAGUACCUUUGCAGGCGCAAAGGCGAGCACCCUCUUGCCGCAGUCCAUCUCAUGAAUGAUCCUGGCAUCCUCCGAGUCGUGCAAGGUCACCUUCUCCUCGGCGGCCAUGACGAAUCGAUCCCCGCCGUCCCUGUCCUCUGCGUACGCGACCGCGGACGCGGGGCGCUCGAGGCGGCACGCGAAGCUGCGGCGGCCCCGGACGAGGUUGACCAUGGCGAGCGCCCCGGCGCGGCCGACGGCGAGCGCGACCCGGCCCGACGGGUGCACGGCGAGGCCCUCGGCGGCCUCGUGGCGCGGGAACGCGCGGAGCGUGGAGAGGAGCGCGAAGCCGUCGGCGUCGUAGAGGUGGAGCGCGCCGUCGUCGCAGGCGGCGAGGAGGUUCCGCGGCACGGGGCCCCGGGAGUAGAAGGCGAGCGCGGAGACGGCGGCGGUGGGGUCGAGGAGCGGGCCGAGGUCGGCGGCGGUGGGGAGGUCGUAGAGGCGGACGGAGUCGUCGGCGCCGCCGGAGGCGGCCAGCCCCGCCCGCGGCGCCGCGGCCACGCAGCGGACCGGGCCCGUGUGGGCCUGGUAGGAGAAGAGCGGCGCGAGGGUGAGGGUUUCGGACGACGAGGCGGUGGAGGAGGUUAGGGUCUUGAGGGAGAAGCCCCAGAUGAAGCGCUCGUAGGAGCCGGCGACGAGAGCCAUGGGAGCAAGGGAGCUCUUGCGCCGCCGCCGCCGCCGGUGUGAGGGUUGGUUGGGGAAGAGAAGAGGGGAGGAGGGUUUUGGGGUUGGAGACUCGGGUGCUUCGUGACGCCGACUUGUGGGGCCCACAAAGUCAACGGUUGGCGCAGCACGAAUCUUGACGAGCUCCUUCGAGGGCUGUCAAGCGGGUCCCACAAACCGGCGGCGGGCGGUUCAUUUGCUCACGUCGAGCACGGGGGGCGCGCGCGGCCGCCGCCGGCGAAUCUCUCAACCCCGGCAGGCAUUAGCAGAGGCGAAUCAGCGUGGCACCCGCCGGGCGCCGCUCGCCUCUCCCGGUUCUCCCCAACUCUGUGGCUCCGCCUCCUCGCGACCUCACCCGCGCCGCCCGUCGCCCGGCCGAGGCGGCUUUGCUUUGUCGCGGCGUCUCUCUCACAUCCGCGCCAUCGCUCACCCCGCCGCCGUGCCGUCCGUGCGGGAGGAGGCGAGGACGAGAGCAAGCAGACUGGAAGCAGCCGAGCAUCUUGCCAGGUAAAUUUCUUGGCUUCCUAGAAAUCACCUGUAGUUUUGCACGGUAGUUUUUCAAGCAUUCAACAGGAGCUAGCGCAUUGGUUUAGUGAAGCGUAAUCUGAAACCAAUUCUGUUGCAUCUUUAACAUGAUGAUUACAAAAUGUGGCGAGACAGUACAUAUUUUUCAGUGAAGAAGACCAAUACAUUCCGAUCGACUGUUAGUUUUGGUUUUUGUAUCCCUGAUUUUUUCCCCACAUUUACAGAUUGUCCACGUCGAGGUGCUAUUGUUGAUGAAGACGAAGAUGGGAACCUCGAAUGCACCGAAUGUUCAGUAAUUAGGCAGAGACUCAUCCCUUAUAGCUACUCCGUCCACUGUCGUUGGAACAGUUACCGACUGCGGUCCAAUCGAAACAGUCAUGUCAGUGCCGGCCAGCAACACCCCGCUCACUGCGGCUAGCAACAUUCAGCCAUUUCUUGUCCUUCACAAGGCUGCUGCAUCCUUGGUGCCAUCGUCCCGUGCUAGGCACCGGAUUCAGACCUCACAACCAUCCUCCUCCAAUCCCAAAUUGGCUGACAGAUGCCAUGAUGCAGCCGGUGAGGAGCAUGAGGAUGAAGGGGAUGCAGAGCUGUAUGAGAAGCUCCGCCUUGAGGCCUUCCACCAAACCUGGUCCAAAAUUCUGUCCACCAUCGAUAAGGUCCUAAAGGGCAUUAACCUCAAGCUGUUCGACCAGGUGCUGCAGUGGGUGAAGGAGUCCAUCUCUUUGGUUCGUGCCAUUGGGAGACCACGCCACACUGAAGUCCAUCAGUUGUAACCUCUCCUGACUGAUGUGAUCUGCAAAAGGAUCCCCAGGCGUUCAUCCUCAUCAAGAAUGCAGAGUUCGUUGAUGACAUCACCACAUUUCGGGAUCUUGCGAGGCAUCUGGAGUCCAAUGGAUGUCACCUAGCCAAGCUGUCAGCAGCUGAAUUAUCGGCAAAACAUGGAGUUGGUGGUUGCUAUAGGAGCCUGUUGAGGCAGCUACUAUCCGAUGUUCCUGAUGUUGCUGAUUUACCUGCACUGGCAUCUUGGUAUUGUGAAACUGAGAACUACGAUCAGCCUAUCAUUGUCAUAAUUGAUGAUUUGGAGCACUGUUCAGGUGGUGUGCUGGGAGAGCUUGUGAUGAUGCUGAGUGAAUGGGUAAUUAAAAUUCCAAUCUUCUUUGUAAUGGGGAUAGCAACUACCCUUGAUGCACCUAAGAAGCUUCUGUGCUCAGAGGCUCUCCAAUGAUUAGAGCCCUGUAAACUUGCCUUGGGAUCUCCGUUGGAUAGAAUGAAUGCACUUGUGGAGGUCAUCCUUGUUAAACCAUGCGCUGGAUUCUGCAUCGGCCAUGAAGUUGCGAUGUUCCUCCGAAAUUACUUUUUUAGGCAUGAUGGAACAAUAACUUCUUUUAUUAGUGCUCUCAAGCUUGCAUGCAGUAAGCACUUCUCCUUGGAACCUCUGAGUUUUUUGUGCCUUGGAAUGCUUGAGGAAGAUUGUGAGGAAUUUUGGCGUGAUAAGUUUGAAGCACUUCCUCAACAGAUACUGAAAUAUGCUUUUGGUCUUCCCUCGUGUGCAAGUGCAAAGAACUCGAGCAAUUCUAGCAACAAUAUGGUUGAAGGACCUUCUAAGCUGUUGAAAUUGCAAAAAGAUUGGGGUUCUGUUCUCUUGUGCCUGUAUGAAGCUGGAAGACAUGACAAAGUGCAGCUUUUGGAUAUCUUCUGCGAGGCAGUCAGCCCAAAUCUACAUACUGAAAAUGUGCUGUUUGUAUCUAAAGUGACUUGCGAAAACUUGUCAGGAGUGAAGUCAAGAUGUGGUGAAGGAUUUAUAGCCCAAGUAAUGAAUAUGAUAAGGUACCUGCCAAUGAAAACUUUAUUACAUGUGCAUGAAGUUUGGGGAUACCAUUUAAAAGGAAUGAGUGAGGACAAUCGGUGCAGAUUGUGUGAGGCCCACAAAGGAAAAGUGGACUAGGACAUCAACAGCCAGUACUGGAAAUGGUACAGUUCCACUGAAUGAGAAAGCUGCCGUUCUAUUACAGGAUGUUACUAGGAAAUAUGUGGUGCCUGUUGAGUGUUUACCUUUUCAUGAAAUUAUCUGCUUCAAGAAUGUUGAUGUUCUCUUCCUUUUACCUCAGAAAAAAGAGAGAAAAGAGGUCUUGGGUUUAUCAGCUCUUCUUCGCCGAAGUCAAACCCACAAAGGAAGGAAAGCAAUUCGUUUGCUGCCCACUACAGCGUGAUGAGAAUGGUAUAAAUUUAAUCCAAUUGAUAUCGCACAUUAAAUUCUUACAUGACAUCUAUAAUACGAAUAUUUGCUGGUUAAUUAUGAAAAUAAAAAUGUAUUGGUGGAAGAAAUAAGAUAGUUUCAUUUUCAAUAACCUUUGUUGAUUGUGUAUCUGAUUUAAAGAUGUGUCUAAACUCUUGCCGGAAUGUUGGCAUUGAUCUUAGGCACCCAACAAGUGCCGUGUACGAGAACGGUCAAGAGGGCUCUGGAUUUCCAUUUGACAGCUUCAGUGUGAGUGACCACUAGUGAUAAGGUAUGUUUGCUGAUUUGUAACUCUUUCAUGUUCUUUUCAUUACCCUAUUGGGUUGUUUCGUCAGCUCUGAAUUCGACUCUCAAAUUCGUCCAUGUCAGAAUGCUAGUGUUCGAUUGAAUUUGUUCUGCUUUUUUCUAUAAUUGAUUGCGAAGUGAUUGCAGUGAUCACUACCUAGCAGAAUAAUUUGAUAAAAUUGAGCAUCUAAGUGUCCCUAUGGUUUCAUUCACUGUAGAUUUGAAGAGCAAUACGCAUAUGGCUUGGGAAUCGCUCAUUUCACCUCGGUUGACAGGAAAAUUAUUUUCCUUAUAUAAAAUUUGCUCUGGUUACAUUCAAAGAAAAGCGUGCAACAAACCACAGCAAUAUGCUUGCUAGGUUGAUGAAUUUAUUCGAAUCUGCUUGGAGCGUGUGAUGGAUUUUCGUAUUCGUUUGUGUUCUGUUCUCCUCGGCAAAACCGCAGCAGGAAUGGAUGGUUUCCUCCUGCUAUUUUACUGAAAUAGAUAUUUUCUGUGGUGCUUUGGUCUAACAUAAUUAUUGGAAAAAUACUGGUCCUUUCUCAUAAACUAUGGUGUUUUCUCUGCUGCGCAGGGCACUUUCGAUCUCAUUGUGGGUGCUUCUUCAACCAAUGGGCAAAGUCUCCACCUGAAUAACUUUAGUGGCACCUUGUGCAUAAGCAUCCUCUUUCUUCUUUUUUUUUUCUUUUUGACUGGAACUGAGGACUUGUUGCAUGUUUUAUACGUUGUGGCAGCGGAAUUGUUGAGUGCCUAUGGUUUGCAUCUAUGAUGCCAUAUUUUGUAAAACUGCUAUUUGUCAAUGUUCAAAUGUGUAAUGCACUAAUCUAUACCUAGAUGUUUGUAGAUUCUGUAAAUCUCUCUUUAUGUGUGCGUGUUGCCAUAUCAUCGGUGGGGCAUUGAAUCACCGCAGAAUGUUCAAAAAUGAUGUGCAGGUGCAAUGCUGUGACCUUUGUUGUUAUAUACGUCAUCACCUUAAAAUUCACGGGUAUAUAGGGAUGGGCACAACUUUUUGUGCGAAACAUGCCCGAACAAAGUUGAUGCAGCUCUUCCUUCACCAGAUCAAGAAAGGUGAAAAAACACCCAUGUCAUUAUCAACCUCAAGAAACCAUAGCAAGUGCCGUACCAAGCUAAGAACAAGGACACCAAAUGAGGAGAGUAAAAAUCAACACAAACCACAUUGUUAAAUCAACGCUUAGCACACGAUGUCUUCAUCCAACUUUGAGGUUCAUUGGCACCUGUGAAUGCGUACAUGAUUCGGGAUAUCAAGCUCACGGAGCAACAAAAAUUACAUCUUCCAAGAAACCAAAUCAUUUUCAGCUUGACAAUGAGAUAACCAAAGGUUCCUUGACCGAAUUUAGCUUAUUGUCACAAACUCAAAAACCAAGUCCCUAAAGCUACCCUUCCGUAGCAGUGGAGUAGGAACAGCUCUGCCACUGAACUGAGCUCCAGUGUCAGCCAGGUUGACUCCCAGUUAGAUCAUGCAAUGAUGUCGUUGACCGGAAUCACACCUGUCUGCUGCAGACGUUGCAUUGCCUUCACUACCUUCACAACGAAAAUGACACAAUCAAAAAUACGUCGAAGCAAAAGCUUCCACUCAACAAGAUCAGGAGAACAGUAAAGCGCACUCACCUCCUUGUCCCAGUUAGUCCUGGCUGUGAGAACAAUCAGGGCUAUCGUCUGCACACUGACCCCAACGAUUAAACCCCACCAUAUUCCCUGAACACAAAGACAGGCUGGAACUGAUCACCACCUUCCUCUGAAAACUGUAUUAGUUAUUAAGGGUUAUACAAUUCUAAAGGGUCGCUGAGGAACUUACAGCAGCCCCAAGGCUUGUUUUGUAUCCUAGGACGCAUCCAAUUGGAAGCCCAAUCAGAUAGUAGGCCCCAACAUUGACAUAAGCAACUAUUGCUUGCCAUCCACUCCCAAUGGCAACUCCUGCAUAAUUUUCAAAAUAGUUUCGAGUUGUGUGAUGUUUGAUGAACACAAACUAGGCGGUAUCUGUGCUACAUGUAUUCCUUCAGUACGACAGUACCUGAGAGGAUUGGCUGAAUCCCAUUCAAGAAGAUGCUGAAAGCCAGCAAUGGCAUCAGACUGAUAACAGCCUCAAUUACUGUGGUGCUGCUCGUGUACAGCGUGCUCAGUGGAUACCUUAGAAUUAUGACUAAAAGCAUCACAAAAAUGCUGAAGGCGAUGCUUGCCAUGACAACCACAAUAACUGAGAACCUUGCUACCUUUGGAUGGCCAGCACCAAGCUCAUUGCCAACACGAAUACUGCAGACGAAGUUGACAAAAAAAUAUAUUUUAUCAUGAGGGUAUAUAAAAUCUAGAGGUAUAAUUCAGCCUUGUACACUGACCUGGCUGCGUAGCUCAAGCCAAGCAUGAUCUGGAAGUCCCAGUUCCAGUAAUUGAUGCUGAAACGAAGAGAUUGCAGUACUAAGUUACGUCUGAAUAUAAAUGCAUGAUCAUGAGCUGCCAAAGAGGAUGUUCAUACCAGAUAGAGAGGGAAUCAAGUGCAAUCUCCGAGUUGGGGAGGAAUCCAGUAAGAAGCACAAAUCCUUGCACAUACCAAAUCUCCAAUCUAUUUAAGAAUAGAAAAGCAAGACAUAAUAUAAACCAGCAAGAAGCAUCAAAAGCACCUAACAAACUAAGAAGAACUAGCUCCAGAUCACUUACGCUAGCAUGAUGGCUGAGGCAAAGGUGAGCUUGGCAUAACCCCAGAGGCCUCUAAAGGCAAGCAAGGAGAGUCCGGUCCAGGUCUCUUUACAAGCUGGACUACAGACAAUGUAACCCCAUGUCAACACCACAAGCACCCACCAAGAGAAGCUCAGUGUGAGCGCAGCACCAAGGAGGCCUGAGCCGAGCACAAACACUGCCAGCCAUGAGGCAAGGGUGUGGAAGAUCAGCACCGCCAGUGUGAUAUAUGCCACGGGGUUGACAAUGUUCUGGGCCUGCAGGAACCUCUGCAUUGGGCAGAAGAGGGCAAAAGCAAGCAGCUGUGGCAGCAGCCCACGAGCGUACAGCUGCCCCGCCACAGCCACAUCUGCCUCCUGCCCAAUGAGCCGCAAGAACAGGCCAGCAUACCAGUAGAGGAAGGCGAUCGGAAUAGCUGUUGCGAGCUGGAGCACGAGCGCCCUCUGGCACACAACGCCCAUGGCCGUGUACCUCCUGGCUCCAUAGGCCUGGCCACAGACAGUUUGCACUGCACUCGCCAUGCCAAUCUGCAUUGCACACAUAGUGCAUGAGAGCAACAAGUGUUGCAACAGGACGUUAUGUUUGAGUAAAUGCAAAGGACUGGAGAGUGCAUGAAGCACGUGCAGUUACGUACCAUGAUGCCGUAAGCUAGGCCCUGGAUACCGAUGUUGGUGAUCGAGGCGCCAGAAAGCUCAAGCUCACCGAGGUGUCCAACAAACAUCUGUGUGAUGAGGCUGAGCAUGAAGCUGAAAAGCGUAAUGAGGAUGGAUGCCCAUGAGAUGCGCCACAGGUUGCCUGCCUCCCACGCUGUCAGCUGUGCCAGCACGCCCCAUGGUACAGGCUCCCGCUGCAGCAGCUCCUCCGACGCACCCGACGACUCGUUGAUGUCCAGCAAUGGUACCAUCACAUUGCUGCCUUCCCCCAUUGUCUCCUCUCUGUAAGUUCUGCACUCAGUUGAGAGUUCACUCUAUAAUGGAAUAAGUUAUGAUGCUAAUAUAUGCAUAUGACCUGUAGCCAUAACUUCUAACAUUCCUGAUUCCCUGGUUGCCAGGCAACUAACCUUCCUGGGGCACAGCUACCAGUCAACUUGCUGGCUGAGGAGGUUGGUGGAACGGUUGACGUGGUAGGUGUGAAUAGCAAGUGGUGAUGCAGCUUACAAGAGAGCUUUAGUAACCUACCAGAUGUUAUGUACGUGACUUUAUUUCAUAGGAAAACAAGUCAGACUACACUCCAGAUUUCCACCAUAAGCUAUAGUUGUAUCAGAGAUAUCUAUAUCACCCAUCAGGAGAGUUGAACUGUUUUCAGGCUGUCUUACAAGAAAAAUAAUGGUGGGUGCCAUUAAACCUACUGAUCAGUUUACCAUAUUUUUUUCGAAAGGAAUCAAGUCAACUUCAAGUGCUGGCCUUAUUACUAGAUUAUUCCUCCAGUCACCAGAAUAUGGGUGUAACUGUAUAAGUGAACUAUAUAGCAGCAGUUUCAAGCACUGCAAGCCUGAACACUGACAAGAUUGACAGAAAUGGUCAUAUUUCCAUUGAGUUAGUCCUAUUGUUUUCCAUCUCCGUGUCUCAAAUAAAAAGAGGACAUAUCAAUAGAAAAAAUGAUUAUGCUCUAACUUUCAUUCGACAAUUUGAAGCUGCAGUCCAACAACAAAAAUACAAUCGCUCAUGCUCACCGGUCACCAAGUUGAAGAUCUGGUACUGACAUCAAGUCGCAUAGAUAUCCAGGUCCUGGAGGAGUUGGUGACAUGUUACUGUAAAUUUAAGACUCAUGCCACGAGCCCUGAGCACAAGUCUCUGUACAAGGUACGAGGCCAUGUAAUGGUCCUGUUUGCACCACAUUGACUGUUUAUUAAAGCUUAACUGUCCUAUUAGCAAACACAGGACACCAGGACCAUGGUAUAACUCAGCAUUUUUGUUUUAGAAUACCUCUUUCAACAAACUUAAUGAUAAGCUUUCCGGCUGCUUGUGUCUCUCCCGCUAGAGCCAGCUGACUGUCAACUUUUUGACAUAAUUUAACAUCAGGAAUUAAAUUUCUCUGGAACAUGCGGCAGGCCACAUUAUAUGAUUGAAGUGGGAGUCCUUUAUUCAGAAAACUCUCCAUCAAAACAUGGCAUGUCUGAGCAUCUCUUUUUGAGGCAGUUCUUAGUACCUUGCUAAGGAGAUUGUAAGCCUCACUAAGUUUACCAAAUGCACAUAGCUUCUCAAUGACCUGAUUGUACGCACUACUAAACUCUUGCCUUGCUAACAUCUUAUCCAGCAGAAUGAGUAAAUCUUCAACUUUAUCCCUUUCACAAUAUCUAUGUAUCACUGUUCUGUAUGUGACAGGUGUAGGGAGCAAACCUCUAUUAAGCAUUUUCUUUACAAGCUCUGUGGCUUCUUUCAUUUUACCUUUCUUUCCUAGAGCAUCGACAACAACAGUGUACGUAACAACAUCAGGGUGCCUGUUGGUCAGAUACAUGUCAUCCAGUAAAGAGAGCGCCGAUUCCAAAUCACCCUGGCAAGAAAAUCCAUGAAUUACAGUUGUGAAGUUAACAACAUUAAUGGAGCAGCCCUUGCUUUGGCACUGCUCCAUUAAGUCUUUGGCCUCUGCUGGCUUUCCUUCCUUGCAUAAAGCAUGGAUCAAUAAGUUAAUCUCCACAGUUGUGGGGAAGAAACCCUUCUGCAACAUCUGCACCACCACAUCACAUGAUUCCUUUAAUUUCCCUUCCCUCCUAAAUCCAUGCAUAACAACACUGUAUGUGAUAUCACUUGGAGUCCACCAUUCCUCUUCGCUCUUGUUUAACAAUUCCCAUGCUUCUGAAGUCUUCCCAACUUUGCAAAGCCCAUUUAAAAGAGCAGUAUGUGUGACUGUAUUUGGCUUGCAACCAUUCUUAUACAUAUGCUUCAUCAUCUUUCUUGCUUGAUCGAGUUCCCCAAUACGGCAGAAUCCAUCAACAACUGCACUAUAUGUUACAACAUCAGGGCGGCAUCCUUUUGAAAUCAUCUCACUUACAAUUUCCUUUGCCUCUGGCAUCCUACCAUUCAAGCAAAAUGAGUGUACAAUCGCACUAUAACCAACCUCAUCAACACGGAAUCUUUUCCCCUCUGACUCCCUCAGGAACCCCAAUGCCUCAUCUGCAUGACCAUGCUUUGCAAGAACAUGAAUGAGCAUGUUAUACGUGACCUGAUCUGGAAAUAGACCUGCAUCAUUCCUCAUCCUCUCAAGCAAAUUCCGCACCUCUACCACCCUCUUCUCCUUGCACAAGAAGCUCAUCACCGUAAAGUAGCUAAUUUUAUCUGGUGGACACCCAUUUUGCAGCAUUGAACCGAUCAUCUCCAGUGCAUCAACGACCCGCCGAGCUUCACAUAAUCCCUUGAUCAGGCAAUUGUACGUGACUACGUCUGGGUCAACCCCAACACGCCGCAUCCUUUCGGCAAACUCGAGAGCCUUGUCGAUGCGGCCAGCCACAACAAGCACGUUCACUGCCACAUUGCAUAUAGAUAUGUCGGGCGCGCACCCAUCCUUCUGCAUGAGCUGGAGCACGCGCAUGGCGGAGCGGAGCUUCCCCGCGCGGCUGUACGUAAGCAUGAGGUGCGCGAACUGCUGAGUUCCCCGGCGCAUGCCCCGGCGGAUCAUGAGGCGCAUGACGCGGCGCGCCGGGUUGUGGAGCCUGGUGCGGCUGAGGAGCGCGAGCAUUUCGUCGAACACCUCCGGGGCGUGGCGGUACUUCCACUGGCGGUCGGCCCAGCGGAAGAACUCGAACGCGGCGCGGGCGUCCCGCUGCGCCUGCGCGCGCAGCACGGCGCGGACCUGCGGCGGGGAGAGCACGCGGAGGAGGUGCCGGAGCUGCGCCUCCCGCUUCGCGCUCCACGAGUCCCGGAGCUCCAGCAGCCUGCAGAUGUCCCGCACGAGGCGGCUGCGCGACUCCUCCCUGAGGUCAUCUUCAAGGGGGGCCUCAUUUGCGGCGGGAGCCGGCGCGAUCUCCCCGGCGGCCGCCGAGGAUGUAGCGUCGGCGCAGGGGCGGCGGGGCUGGAGGAGGAGGAGGAGCCGUCGGCGCGGGAGCAAUGGGUUCUUGGUUAGGCGUCUGAGCAUGGCGUGCGCUCGCGCACACGAGAGGCUAGAGCCUGGUGAUUCUGAGAGUAUAGUCGGAAAUGGCAGGAGGAUGCCGGCGCCGGCGGCCGCCACGAGCGGAGUCAGUCGCGCGCGGUGGCCGGUGGGUCAGCCGGUCAGGACACUUUUGCUACAAAGUCCACCGGUUGCAAGAAAAUUAUGAAACCAAACAUUAGUAAGCGUAGCAUUUCUUUUUUUCCCCCUUGCGUAAAGUUGAAACCAUAGUUUUGUCGCCACUCGCCACCACCUACUUAGCGAUUAAACUGGUGAAAACGGUUUAAGAUUAACCACUGAAUGUAUUCAUAUUUUUUCCAACCUAGAUGUAUGCACUUUAUCUUGACGUAUUUUAGAUAUUUUUUAAUUUAGAAUGUCAUGUUACUCUUCUCAUUCUCCAUUCUUCUCUUUUCUCAAUCUUUCAUUAUAUUAGAGCAGGAUUGCUGCAAUAUUUUGCAGCAGGUUAGACACAUCUUUAAACCACAUAUACCUUUUUUAUAUUUUUUUAAUGAAUAUACUAUCCUUGCUAACGUCUUCCUUUUCUUUUCUAUUACCCCAGGAGGUCCAUCUCGCAUGCUAGACGAGUUCAGCAACCCACCUUAUUUUAUCACAUCACUUAUCAACGUUACGUCUUUCUCGAAAAUAUAUCUAAUGUUUUAGCAAGUACUGGAUUGUUAUUGAUUUCCUCGUGCAUUUUUCACUGACUAACUUCUAUAAGAUUUAAGGUGACGAUGUGGUCAAUCUUUAUCUACAACGGGUAAUAAACAACUUUAUGGCCUUACUUUAACAUCUCAUUUUAUCAAUGUCACAUCUUCAUCUAAAAAAAAUGUCUAGCUUCUGUAGUAGGUACUUGAUUCUUAUUGUCUCCUUCGUGCAUUGUUCAUCGAUUAAUUUCUCUAUGGUUUUAAGCUGAAGCUGUGACCAAUCUUUUUAUCUAAUAAUGGUUAAUAAAUGAUUCUUCUUCUAAUUUUAAUCACAGGACUGGAAAUAGUUUAAUAAACACGUGCCUAUGCACAACGACGAACAUCCGGAAUCUAAAAAAUUGGACGCCUCGACAUAUAUUUUCAAUAGUUACAUAUCGAUGUUGCAACUAUUAUUUCCACAUAUUUUAUGACGAAUAUUGCAUGAAACAUAAAUAUUUAUGUUACGGUGAGAAUUUUCUAUUCCGAAGUCAAACAACAUAGUCAUUUUCUUUCCGUAUAUCUUUUUAAUAUCGCAACUAUAGAUUUUCAACGGAGGGUCGACGGAAAAAAUCGCACGGUUCCAAACAGGUUCCACGCACCUCCGCGGCUCCGCCCACUGAUCCCGUCGUCCUAUUCGCUCCCCCACCAUCCCCCGCCUCGUCCCGGUCGUUCGCGGCCUCGCUCCGGCAAACACAAUGGCCGCCGCCGCCGUCCCCAACGGCCACCCUGCCGCCGCCUCCAGCGACGACGCGGCCCCGCAAUCCUCCUCGUCUUCGCUGGUGUUCCUGGGCACGGGGUGCUCGAGCGCCGUCCCGAACGCGCGGUGCCUGAUCCAGCCCCCCGACCCGCCCUGCCCCGUCUGCUCCCAGUCCCUCUCCGUCCCGCCCGAGCUAAACCCUAACUACAGGUGCCGCCUCUUCCCUCCCUCCCGAACCUCGUGCGGGGUCAGGAUACCCGUCGUGCUGCGGCGUCAGGUGUUUUGCGUGUUUUUCACGAGGUCGGUGCGGAUCUGUGAAGGAGUGAGAUCGGGGAGCUUUAGCCUGGUUAUAAGGUUAUUGUUGUUAAAUUUACGGACGGAAUCAUACAUGCUUCGGGCGUUUAGGUGUUGUCUGGAUAUGGGACGAUACCGCUGCUAGUUUGGUUUUGUUUGAGAAAUGUUGGUUAGAUGAAUACAGGAUGGGAUUAGUUUUGAGCAGAAUUUAGACACCGUAAAUCUAUCGUUCUGUGUCCUGUCUUCUCCAGCAGCUGUUGUGUCGUUUCUGCAUUUGCAUAUAUCUCAUUAAUUGUCCGCAACAUGCAUUUCGAGCAAUACGAGGACUGUUGCAGUAAUUGGAAUGCUUUGAUAUGGAAAAAGUUGGGAUGCAUAAGAUUCGAUUUUCAAUCAAUCUGGUAGGUCAGAAUCGACCUAGAAUCCUCCGUAGGAUAGCAAAUAUGUUUGAAAUCAAAUGAAUUGGACACAAAGGUUAUGUGCAGUUUUAUGUACAUGCUACUUGGUCAGGUUUCCCAUUUAUCCAUAGAACAUGGAUGAGAUUAAUUGACUUCUUCCCAACUUGCUUAUUUCAAUUUUUGUUUCUGCAUUGGCCCCCUACAGCAGAAAUCACAGUGCGCUUUCUGCAUUUUCUUUCUCAACCUUACAGUUAGUAUUCUUCCUAAUGUACGCAGGAGAUGGAGUAGUAUUGUGGAGGCUUAGAUUAUAUAUAAUUAUGUGAGGUUGGGACAUUCUUAUUUUUUUGUUUAAGAAAAAUCAUGUACAUGAUGAAACCGGUAGCUAGAAAAAAGAAGACGGUGGAUAUAUUACAUGCAGUUGCAUGAUGUCGUGAAAGUACGAUAAGUGAACUGUCUAUCUGGUCCAGGAUAUCUGAUCAGUAGAUUACAAAAAAUAAAAUAAAAUAAAAUACUGGCUAUAUUUGUGCUCAUACCUCAUACUCUUGGUCAAUACCUUCUCUAGGAUCAUAUUAAACUGCUUGUUUAUGUUCACUUGAGGCCAGGUCAAUUGAAACUUCAUUCUGAAAUGUUUCUGGAAUACUGAUGCACCUGAACAAGGUCGAUAGCUUAAAUUAUGCUAAAAUGUGCAUUUCCAGUUACUAGACUUACUCUUGGUUCCUUGCAGGUGCAAUACUUCUCUUUUGAUUGAUUAUUGCCAAGAUGAAGGUGCACAUAAGUAUAUUAUAAUAGAUGUUGGGAAGACAUUCAGAGAACAAGUUCUGCGAUGGUUUGUUCACCACAAAAUCCCUUGUGUUGAUUCUGUGAGUCCCUGAUAUACUCAUGUUUGGUUUAGUUUUUUCUAAUGUUUAUUAAAUAACCAAAAGGCCAACUAAGGGUUCACUAUGAUAUAAAAGAAAACUCACUGUUUUGCAUACCCAUGGUACGCUAACACCUCUUCCUUAUUUGUAACAGAUUCUUCUGACUCAUGAGCAUGCAGAUGCAAUCUUAGGCCUUGAUGAUGUUCGGGUCGUACAGCCGUUUAGUCCCACAAAUGAUAUUGAUCCAACCCCAAUUUAUCUCUCUCAAUUUGCUAUGGACAGGUAAUUAUGUUAGAACUUCGUUAGGCAUUGGUACUGCACUACUGCUCUUUUGAGAAUUAUAAGGAAUUUCAGUCAAGAAUGCAUGUCACUUGACUUUUUUCAUGGUUAUGCUGCAGUUAGCUGACUGCCUCUCACAAUAUGCAUUGAGGAACCAACUCCUCCUGCACAUAAUUUACCACUUUAGCAUGUUUCAUGAGAAGUACGUCAGUGAAGGAUAGCAAAUAUCUUUAAAUAAACAUUGAUAUAGUAACUGACACAUACAACCAUGUUUAUACUCAUGCGAAUUUCUUUGUUCUUGGACUACCAUUUCUGCAUGUCUUUUUUUAAUGCUGCUCUUGUCUAAUCUUGUAAAACAUUUUCUAGCACUGUUGCCUCUUAUCUGGUAAGGGGUUUAUGUUUCACUUCCACCAUUUCCUUACAGCUAAUAUGUAGUUAUUAGUUAGGACAAUAGGUGAGAAUUCGUGCUAACAAUGUUCAUUGUGAAACAGCAUCUCCCAAAAGUUCCCUUAUUUGGUCAAAAAGAAACUAAAGGAAGGGGAGGAGGUCAGGCGAGUUGCUCAACUGGACUGGAGAAUAAUUGAAAGUGAUCUUCAGAAACCAUUUACAACUUCAGGGCUAGAGUUUGUUCCCUUGCCGGUAAUAAGAAGCAUUGCAUUCAACUGCAUUUUAUUUUGCUAUGCAUUUUUCUUAUUUCGUAUUCCUAUCAGGUGAUCCAUGGUGAAGACUACAUUUGUUUGGGUUUCCUUUUCGGAAGAAAAUCAAAAGUUGCUUACAUAUCAGAUGUUUCACGGUUUCCUCCAAGCACUGAAUAUGGUAAACCUUGUGUCCACUAAUGCUGCUCUAUGAGUAGUGUUUUUAAUCAUCUUAUGUUGCCAUGUUGCUUUGCUUGCUUUUCUGGAAUAAAGUAAACCAUUACAGGAGAACAGAGUGUGGUGACUCAUUCUAGAUUUUUCUUAAGGUGAUUGGGUGAAUUACCUUUUUAGUGUUCUGUGGUAUUGUUUGUUAAUAUCUCUGCUUGGUACUCACCAUAAUACAUAGGAAUUCCCUACAGCAGAAGGUGCUGUGCAACAUAAUAUAAUUAAUAUUAAUGUUGAUAUAUGGACCUUUGAAACUUAGACAUGGGGCUUGGGAAAUAAAUAUCUGUGCAUAGAUAUUGCAUAGAUGUAUUGUGAGUGCUUUGCUAGUUUGCUUUUCCCCUGCUUCAUUUCCGUGCCCUUAGGAAUGCUUGCAUGCAUGGGUGGCACUGUUUGCUUUGAGAAUAGCUGCAGGUUUUGUAGAUUUAUUUCCUGUCCUCUCUUGCUUGAUUGCCUCCCAGGAUCCUCAUUGCUGCCUGUACAUGUACUUACCUUUCAGCAAUUUCAAAGUCUGGAGAGGGCCAACUGGAUUUGCUCAUCUUGGACUGCCUAUACAGGGUUAGUUUCUUUAGUUCCUUCUGUUGUCUAUACAGGUGUUUUCCCCUUUCUGCUGCUAAUUUUGUAUUUUGUAUUUAUUUCUGGGUCCACAUUUAAACUUGGGAACUUUUAUGGAUCCACAGCUCACUACAGAUUACAGCACAAGGACAGAUGUUUUUUAAUACUGAGAUGAACAUGUAGAAAGACGGAAAACACCAUUUCUUAAAUUUUCCUAUUCUUGUACUCUUGAAAUGUAAAGAUAGAUGAUAGUAUUGAACAUAUUUGGAAACUGUCUUUUGUACGAGUAAAAAUUCCUUACCAAUAAAAUCAUAGAUAAUGUCAGUUUUAGUUAUGGAAGUAAUUCUUUACUUAGCUCCUAACUAGUAGCUUCUGAGACAAGAGUCUAUCAGUUCAUAGGAAGUUGAUUUUGUUGCAAUUCAUGUCAACACAAUUGCUCUUGUUGAAGAACAUUUGUCAAUAAUUAAUAAUGUUAUGUUCUGCCAUUAUCUUUACUAAUUUGUUGUCAACUCUGACACCCUCUGCGCCAACAGACAGGUUCUCACAAUGUGCACCUUUGUUGGGACCAGGUUGGUUUUCAUUUCACAAUUUAAGCAAAUUGGUUUCGUUUCCCUUUUCUUAUAUAUUCCAUGUGUCUGAUUUAUGCUAACCCUAUGAUCUUAUGCAGACUCUAGAUGCUGUUAAAAGGAUUUGCCCCAAAAGAGCAUUGCUCAUUGGGAUGACUCAUGAGAUGGACCAUCACAAGGACAACCAAACAUUGGAAGAAUGGUCCAGGAGGUAAGGUCUUCCUCCUAGAUAGUGUAGAUCUGUGCAGACACUUGUUUGUAUACAUACCACAUAAGUCAACAUGAAAAGAACACAUGGAAAUGAAAGUAAUACCACCUUUUUUUCUUCUUUUGUCACAUUACUAUCUUGGAAAGGCAUGCAUGCUGGUGCACUGUAAUUUGUUAAAAAAACACUUGCUUUACUGUAAAUUUCUAAAGGCUUGCAUGCUCAUGCUCUGUCAUUUGGAACUGCAGGGAGGGGAUAGAUGUGCAAUUAGCUCAUGAUGGCUUGCGUGUCUACAUUGAUCUGUAGCCGUGAAAGGUACAAGUCUCCGCCUUUGCUUCAACUAUAGCGAUCAAGGAUCGAUCAUGUUGCUUCGUUCAUUCAAUAGAUUUUAUUGUGUUCCAGUUUGUCCAAACUCGUUCAUGUACGUCCAUACCUGCAUAUUAUGUUCUGCUGUUCACUGACCCUCAACUCUUCUUUGUAUAUCAGGACCAUUGCAUACUCAGUGAGCUGUACUAGGUUUCCUGCUGCUGUUAACAUUCAGCCCCCUCUUGUGAAGAAAGUACAAACUGACUUGGCGCACCAAUCUUCGUGUGAUACCAGUAGAUAUAUAGUCCCUAUUUACAUUUCGAAUAGUCAACACGCGAUUCGAAUAAAAAGUAAGUAGUUGUUUCAUUGCCCCCACAAGUUGCUGUCCAUCUCCUUGGUAAAGCAAUUGAACGGCUCUUGUCAAUUUGGAAGCCAAACUGCACCGUAUGCAUCUUGAUGUUAACUGCCAGCCAGUUGUAGCCCAGUAUUGCCUUCCGAGAGAAGCGUGGCCUCGAAUGAAUUUUGAAAGCAGCUCUGUGGAAGGAUGUCUAGAAAACUUCCUGGUGGCUGGCUGGGUUGCACAAUCCCUGGAAAAGCCAGCUAGUGAAAGAGCAAUGGAGAUGGUUGCAAUUUUUUUUCCACGAAGUAUAGGGGGGUGUUUGGAUCGCCCGACUAAACUAAACUUUAGUCCCUAUCACAUCGAAUAUUUAGUCCCUAUCACAUCGAAUAUUUAGAUACUAAUUAGGAGUAUUAAACAUAGACUAGUCCAUGAUUUGACAAUAUGUUACCACAGUAACCAUUUGCUAAUGAUGGAUUAAUUAGGUUUAAUAGAUUCGUCUUGCCGCUUAACCUCCGUCUGUUCCAUUAGUUUUAUAAUUAACUCAUAUUUAGUCCUUCUAAUUAGUCUCCGAAUAUUUGAUAUGACACGGAUUAAAUUUUAGCUUCAAGAUCCAACCCCCGAGUAACUGUGCCUUUUGCAGGGUUCGUUCAUGUUGGCUUCUUCAGAUCGAUUUUACGGUGCCAUCCAUUGUUGUUGCACGGCCCUCAUUUCUCCAUCUGGGCCGGGCUAAACCACACACAGAUGACAGAACUGAACAUCGCUUUGGUAGCUUCCAAAAUUGAUCCUAGUCAGGCGGGCCCGCCGCCGCGCGCACGGCCAGUCGGCCACGCCCGCGUGCGGCCGUGUGUCAGAGAAGGAUGCCACGGCGCAGCGCAUCCAUCCGUCCAGCCCACCCACCACCCAACCCAUCCGGCCAUCCCCGUGAUCCCUCCGCUGUCCUCACUCGCUGGCCGCCUCCCCCAUCCACUCGCUCCCUUCCCCGUUCCCCCCUCCUCGUCGCGGCGCGGCGGCGGCGCAACGCGAAAUGGCGAUGGCCUCCACCUACGCGCCGGGCGGCGGCGCGGGGGCGCUCGCGCCGGGAAGGGCCAGGGUCCGCGGCCCCGUGGGGCUCGUCAGCCUCGGCCCCACCAGGCUCGGCGGCCUCCCCCGCCCCCUCGCCCUCGCCAGGCGGAGCCCCGUCGCGGCCGGCGCCAGGCUGCGGUGCGCGGCGUCUUCCUCGUCGGCGGCGCGCCCCGUGACGGCGCCGCGGUUCAUCCAGCACAAGAAGGAGGCCUUCUGGUUCUACCGCUUCCUCUCCAUCGUCUACGACCACGUCAUCAACCCGGGGCACUGGACCGAGGACAUGCGCGACGACGCGCUCGAGCCCGCCGACCUCUACAGCCGCUACCUCAAGGUCGUCGACGUCGGCGGCGGCACGGGCUUCACCACGCUCGGGAUCGUCAAGCACGUCAACCCGGAGAACGUCACGCUGCUCGACCAGUCCCCGCACCAGCUCGAGAAGGCCAGGCAGAAGGAGGCGCUCAAGGGGGUCACCAUCAUGGAGGGCGACGCCGAGGACCUGCCCUUCCCCACCGACACCUUCGACCGAUACAUCUCCGCCGGCAGGUCACUGACGCUCCGUUGCUCGAUUCGCUUCACACUUAUCUUCACAGCUUGUAUCUGAUGAUUGUGCAUUCCAUUAGUAAUAGCUAGUCAUGUAGAGGUUGCUGAUUUCCCUGUCCUGUCGUGAUAUCUUGCAGCAUUGAGUACUGGCCUGAUCCGCAGAGAGGAAUCAAGGAAGCGUACAGGGUCCUGAGGAUGGGUGGGACAGCUUGUGUGAUUGGCCCCGUGUACCCAACCUUCUGGCUGUCCCGCUUCUUCGCCGACAUGUGGAUGCUCUUCCCCAAGGAAGAAGAGUAUAUCGAGUGGUUCAAGAAGGCUGGGUUCAAGGAUGUCAAGCUGAAGAGAAUUGGACCAAAGUGGUAUCGUGGUGUCCGGAGGCAUGGCCUGAUCAUGGGAUGCUCUGUCACAGGUGUGAAGAGAGAACGCGGGGACUCUCCUUUGGAGGUACCUUUCUUUUCCCUUUGCUAAUAGAAAGUGUUGCUGUCAAAUUCACAAUUACAUAACUCAAUGAAUUUUUUCAUACCUCCUUCAGACUUUAAAUUGUUCAUUUCCGGCAGUAGAUGUUGAGGGGUUUUGGUGUAACUUUUUUUCAUUUUAUCUUCAAUGCAGCUUGGUCCGAAGGCUGAGGAUGUCAGCAAGCCGGUGAAUCCCAUCACCUUCCUCUUUCGCUUCCUCAUGGGAACGAUAUGUGCUGCAUACUAUGUUCUGGUGCCCAUUUACAUGUGGAUAAAGGACCAGAUUGUACCCAAAGGCAUGCCAAUCUGAGUGAAGGGAACUGAGCUGCAAGGAAGAGAGGAUAGCCAUCAUCUGAAUUAGUCUUCUCUAUAUUAAUUAGGCACUUCAUGUCUGUUUUGUAUUUACCUUUUAUCUAUCUGGUGUUAUGCACUUCUUUUACUGUUUUUCAUAUUUGUGGGAAGUAAUAAUAUUAAGACAUGGGUUAAUCUCAAAAUCUCCACAGUUUCUUGAGCAUUGAGUGGAACCUCUGUAGCAGAUUAUAGAGAUGGUAUCCGAUAGCUCUGCAAAAAGAGCAUUUUUUAUUUGGGAUGGUAUCUAAUUUGGAUUCCUCUUUUUUAUUCUUCUUAUGCUUUGACCUUUGAUGAUGUUCUAGUUUUAUUGCAUGGCAUAUGUGCAUGAAAAUCAGUUGCUCUAACAAUUUUAACCAUAAAUGGUAAUUUUAUCAAGGCAUUGCAUUUAUCAGCACAUACAGUUAUCUAAUAUUUCUGUAUCAAAUUAUCAAUGUAUUCUUGCAUCCUUUGCUGUAUGUACACAAUUUCAGCAGGAUAUUUUUUUUCCCUCUUCCACAGUUCAAGCAGUUGUUUUCAAUUUGGCCUCUAUGAUAUGUUUUUGGUUUGUGCAAUUGCUGUGAUGUGACACUUGAUGCUGUUAAGGUUUCCUCUCAACGAGCAUUUGCUCAUUGGAAUUGACCCACGAGAUGUACUGUAAAUGGCCAACUGGACAUUUUUUUUGAAACGUUGGCCCUGGACAUUGAAAGAAUGGUUUGUAAGGUAGGCCUUCCUGCGGGACAGUCUAGAUGAAUCUAUGUGCAGGCUUAUGUGCAAGGAACAUGUUUCUAUGUGAGUAAUACACUUCUUUGCAGAAACUGCAGUUAACUAGUACACCAUAAUGAUAAUAAUCGUAUAUUUACCUUGCACAAUUUGCUAAACCUGCUCAUGCAAUGUAAAUUGUAUGCUCAGGGACUGGAUAGCCUAAAGUUUGAUCCUGGUGAUUGUGCAUCUAUUGGAUCUGGACCUAUGAAACGGUAUGAUGCUUGAUCCAAAAUUCUCUCUUUCAAUUGGUUAUGCAUUUUUACUGCUGUUUUUUCUCCAUUGAAGUUCCAUGUAGCACCCAGUGCCCUUUGGGGAAAAUGACAAAAAGCAAUCUAGCAUGAAUUUAGUUAAGUAAAACUACAUUAACUCAAUGCUUGCAUACGGUCGAUCAAUCAUAACCCAAUGUGUUGAAAUGCUAGUUUUGGAGAAAGACUGUUCUACACCCGAGCUCUUUAACAUAAGGUUCAUACCUUCGACUUUGCAGUACAUAAGUGAUGAUUUUGAGGUGCACAAGCUCUCUCACACACAAACAGUUAGUUUGUACUUACAACAAUUUUUAUACAUUACAGAUUACACAAAUAUAAACCAGUAUACAUAGAGAAGAGUGAGAUUGCAUGCAUUAUCUUGCAAGAUCUACAUCCAGCACCAGUUUUGCUGUCUCUGUGCUCUGGUAUCCCAUGCCUGAAGGGACAGACAUUGAUGACUCUUGACAAGAAUAAUGUGCUUGAUUAGGAUGCAUCUUUGUGACUAACUGCAUCUGGAGUCUUCUCAGCAUUUGUAAUCGCUCUGCAACUUCCUUCAUUGUUGGCCUCUCGUCUCCUUUUGGGCUCAGACAGUGCAUGACAAGUUCAGCUAGUUUCUCGAGUACUACCAUUACUUGAUCAUCUACUAUUUCAGUGUCCAACAUAGAUCGGAGCUCAUUCCGGUGGAACAUCAGUAUGAAAGUAUGAGAUAGUGAUUUCUUUUCGUUAGAGGUAUCCCUGUAUAGAGCCUUCUUUCUUGUCAUUAGCUCUAAAAGAACAACUCCGAAGCUGUAUACAUCACUUUUGUCAGUUAGAUGAUGACUGACAAAACUCUCAGGGUCUAUAUAACCAAGAGUUCCUUGGAUAAGCAUAAUGAAAUCAUUUUUGUCCAUGGACUUUAGUGCCGAUGCUCCAAAAUCUGAUACUUUUGCAUUGUAUUCAUUGUCCAAUAGUAUAUUUAGGGAUUUGACAUCUCCAUGCAGAAUUGUACGAGAAGUUGAUGAAUGAAUGUAGGCAAGAGCUUCAGCUGACUGUGUAGCAAUAUUGAAUCUAAGAUCCAAGGGUAUUGGUGAUCUGGCAUCAGUUCCAUGAAGGAACUCAAAGAGAGUACCGUUAGGAAUGAACUCAUACACCAACAUUGGCACAUCUACAUCCAAGCAGCAUCCCAGUAACCUCACAAUGUUCCUGUGGUUUAUUUGUGACAAGAUUAUUAUCUCAUUGACAAAUUCUUCUCUGCAGUCAUCAUCUAUUACCUUGGACUUCUUUAUAGCAACUUCUUUGUUGUCAUCUAAAGUUCCUUUAUAGACCAUUCCAUGGCCACCGCAUCCAAGAACACGAUCUUCACUGAAGUUGUCUGUGGCUUUCUUUAUCUCUUUCUCUGUAAGUAUUUGAAUGGUGUCAACUUGCCUCGAUCUCAUUUCAUCAUAUAAUUUCAGACCUCCAUUUUGUUCGAAAUAGGCAUCCUUCUCCCUCCUAUGCUUCCUUUGUUGUAAUUUCAUAACCAAUAAGCAUGUCAAAGAUAUCACUACAACUGCAGAAGCACUGAGGCCUGCACAAUGAUGUUCUUAUGAUUGAAUGCCUCAAAUUCUAGAAAUUCAGUUUAGAUAGAUUUAAAGUUUACACUCAUGUAUGAUACCUACCUAUGGCCACCUGUUCAGCUUGGGUAAGCACAGGUCGACAUCCAGAAUUGUUACCAUCUGAUCUUGUUCCUAUCCUGCACUUGCAUAUAUAGCCUCCUGGUAUAUUGCGACAGAUCCCAUUUUUGCAUGGAUAUAGUUCUUUGUACUUCAGGUCCUGCUUGCGUAGCUUGCACUCGUCUAUAUCUGGAGGGAAAUCAAGAAAACUGAUUAAUAUAAAUUCAAGGAAAAAGAAGAUCAAAAUGCGAUUUAGUUCAGUAUAUGAUGAAGUAUCCUAAAUAAAAGUUGUACAAGUAAACAAAAAAAAAAG